UGGUGAAUCGCAAAGGGCUCCUGAGGGAGGGGCUUCCCGGCCUUGAUAAAUAACUUUGUGGCAGCGAGACAAAGAGGAACGGCAAAAGACCAGGGGUGCAUAGCGGUGGACGGGCAGCCAUUCGGACAGGCGGGCAGUUAUAAAGCAGAGGAAAAAUAUGGCAGACACUGACUUUGAGCGGGAGUUUCUGGAGGCCCACAACGCGUACCGGCAGGAUCACGGGGCACCGCCACUGACGCUGAGCAGGGAGCUGUGUGUCUCCGCGCAGAGCUGGGCCGAUCACCUGCUCGCCAUCCGGAUGCUGAAGCACAGCCCCCAGUCAGACAAGGGCGAGAACAUCUUCAGCAUGCAGAGCUCCAGGCCCAUGAAGA